AGGCAGAGGGCGCCUGUGGCCAGGACAAGUUAAUAGGGAGGGUAUGUCUAUUUCUGGUUCUAUUGCAGGCCAAUGACCCCUUCCUAGCCUGGACACUCUAUCCCACCCAUGGAGAGCCUGACAUGGAGAGAGCUUGCUGUGGUGCCUGACGCAGGCUCUCACCCAGCCCUUUCUCAUCCUUGAAGCCCUGCAGUGUGCUAAGUUGGUUCCCAAAGACCUCUUCAGAGAAAAUGGAUGGCAGGGAAUGGAGACGUGCAGAAGCCCAUCUGAGGACAUGAAGUCAUGACUAGAGUAGAGCUGCUGUGAUAAAACAUCUUCUGAGAUCCGUGUUCCUUGACAAGAACCCAAGACUGUGUGAUGGGACCCUUCCCAGCCUCUCUGAUUUCCAUGAUACCUUUAUGGCCCUGGUUCCUCUCAUGGCUUAUAAAACCGGCAUAUCACUGUGACUUUA